GGGUGAUCUGCCCUGCACUUCGGGAUAAGCCUGGGAAACUGGGUCUAAUACCGGAUAUGACCAGAGGCUGCAUGGCUUUUGGUGGAAAGGUUUACUGGUGCAGGAUGGGCCCGCGGCCUAUCAGCUUGUUGGUGGGGUAAUGGCCUACCAAGGCGACGACGGGUAGCCGACCUGAGAGGGUGACCGGCCACACUGGGACUGAGACACGGCCCAGACUCCUACGGGAGGCAGCAGUGGGGAAUAUUGCACAAUGGGCGAAAGCCUGAUGCAGCGACGCCGCGUGAGGGAUGACGGCCUUCGGGUUGUAAACCUCUUUCAGCAGGGACGAAGCGAAAGUGACGGUACCUGCAGAAGAAGCACCGGCCAACUACGUGCCAGCAGCCGCGGUAAUACGUAGGGUGCGAGCGUUGUCCGGAAUUACUGGGCGUAAAGAGCUCGUAGGCGGUUUGUCGCGUCGUCUGUGAAAACCAGCAGCUCAACUGCUGGCUUGCAGGCGAUACGGGCAGACUUGAGUACUGCAGGGGAGACUGGAAUUCCUGGUGUAGCGGUGAAAUGCGCAGAUAUCAGGAGGAACACCGGUGGCGAAGGCGGGUCUCUGGGCAGUAACUGACGCUGAGGAGCGAAAGCGUGGGUAGCGAACAGGAUUAGAUACCCUGGUAGUCCACGCCGUAAACGGUGGGCGCUAGGUGUGGGUUUCCUUCCACGGGAUCCGUGCCGUAGCUA
rnacentral:rRNA from 1 species